rnacentral:rRNA from 1 species
CCUACGGGGGGCAGCAGUGAGGAAUAUUGGUCAAUGGACGAGAGUCUGAACCAGCCAAGUAGCGUGAAGGAUGACUGCCCUAUGGGUUGUAAACUUCUUUUAUAUGGGAAUAAAACGUUCCACGUGUGGGAUUUUGUAUGUACCAUAUGAAUAAGGAUCGGCUAACUCCGUGCCAGCAGCCGCGGUAAUACGGAGGAUCCGAGCGUUAUCCGGAUUUAUUGGGUUUAAAGGGAGCGUAGGUGGAUUGUUAAGUCAGUUGUGAAAGUUUGCGGCUCAACCGUAAAAUUGCAGUUGAAACUGGCAGUCUUGAGGACAGUAGAGGUGGGCGGAAUUCGUGGUGUAGCGGUGAAAUGCUUAGAUAUCACGAAGAACUCCGAUUGCGAAGGCAGUUCACUGGACUGCAACUGACACUGAGGCUCGAAAGUGUGGGUAUCAAACAGGAUUAGAUACCCCGGUAGUC